rnacentral:rRNA from 1 species
GGAAUCUUCCACAAUGGACGAAAGUCUGAUGGAGCAACGCCGCGUGAGUGAAGAAGGGUUUCGGCUCGUAAAACUCUGUUGUUAAAGAAGAACAUAUCUGAGAGUAACUGUUCAGGUAUUGACGGUAUUUAACCAGAAAGCCACGGCUAACUGCGUGCCAG